rnacentral:sRNA from 1 species
CUUGAAUUAUGCUUGAAAUAAUUUGAUGAUCCUAGUACUACUCAUUGAGUAGUAUUAUAA